GAUAGUUCAGUUGGUUAGAGCAUGGUGCUGAUAAUGCCAAGGUUGCAGGUUCAAUCCCUGUAUGGGCA